CGACAUUAUAUAAAUAAGAAAGCUCCAGCUAUUUUAAAGCAAUUUCAUACGAUUAGAAAAAUUGGUAAUCCAAGUUAUAACAUGGAUCUUGAAGACCAAAAAUUUUGAACCAAGAAUAGUAUAGAUAGUCUACAACUAGUGAAUAUUAUAGGAAUAAUUGAAAAAAAUAUAAUUAAAAUUGAAAGAUAACAAUUUCCUAAACAAGACGAAUAAUAA